rnacentral:rRNA from 1 species
GACGAACGCUGGCGGCGUGCUUAACACAUGCAAGUCGAACGGAAAGGCCCUGCUUUUGUGGGGUGCUCGAGCGGCGAACGGGUGAGUAACACGUGAGUAACCUGCCCUUGACUUUGGGAUAACUUCAGGAAACUGGGGCUAAUACCGGAUAGGAGCUCCUGCUGCAUGGUGGGGGUUGGAAAGUUUCGGCGGUUGGGGAUGGACUCGCGGCUUAUCAGCUGGUUGGUGGGGUAGUGGCUUACCAAGGCUUUGACGGGUAGCCGGCCUGAGAGGGUGACCGGCCACAUUGGGACUGAGAUACGGCCCAGACUCCUACGGGAGGCAGCAGUGGGGAAUAUUGCACAAUGGGCGGAAGCCUGAUGCAGCAACGCCGCGUGCGGGAUGACGGCCUUCGGGUUGUAAACCGCUUUCGCCUGUGACGAAGCGUGAGUGACGGUAAUGGGUAAAGAAGCACCGGCUAACUACGUG